UUUUUUGAGAGUUUGAUCCUAGCUCAGGAUGAACGCUGGCGGCGUGGAUACCGGCAUGCAAGUCAUACGGUCCCGACGGAUCCCGCAAGGGGCUCGUCGGGAUAGUGGCGAACGGCUUAGUAACACGUAGAUACAUACCGCCGAGAUGGGGAUAAUCCCGCGAAAGCGGGACUAAUACCCAAUGGUCCCUGAAGCCGCAAGGCUGAAGGGUAAAGGUAUUCGCAAGAAUACUGCUCGGUGAAUGGUCUGCGGCCUAUCAGCUAGUUGGUGAGGUAAUGGCCCACCAAGGCUAUGACGGGUAGGGGGCGUGAGAGCGCGUCCCCCAAGAAUGGCACUGCGACACGGGCCAUACUCCUACGGGAGGCUGCAGUCGAGAAUCUUCGACAAUGGGCGAAAGCCUGAUCGAGCGACGCCGCGUGCAGGAUGAAGGCCUUCGGGCUGUAAACUGCUUUUCAUCGGGAGAAAGUCCGCCUUUGGCGGAUUGAUUGUACCGGUGGAAUAAGAGGUUGCUAACUCUGUGAACCCAUUAAGGGUUGGUGCAGAGCUUCUCCAGUAAUGGAGAAUAGGAAAACUUAGCUUAUAUGCUGGGACAUCUUUCGUUGUCCGCUGAAUGUUUCCAAAAGGAACGCAACGAAAGACAAUCAGCAGGGAAGUUGUUAUAAUUUUUAUUAUAAUUAACCCCUCAGAGACUUGUUUCAUUAUUGAAACAGAUGGAUGUUUUUGAACAUUCAUAAUACGCUAAGCUCCUCGCAAGAGGAUGAUGAUAUAGUCCAUUUAACUAUCGAGUUAGAUAGCCAGCAGCAGCGGUAAUACAGAGACCUCGAGCGUUAUCCGGAUUUAUUGGGCGUAAAGGGUCCGUAGGUUGUAAAGAUAGUCUUUGGUUAAAUCCCCUCGGCUUAACCUUGGGGCUGCUAAAGAUACUUCUUUACUUAGAGGACGUUAGGGGCUGACGGAACGUACGGUGUAGGGGUGAAAUCCGUUGAUAUCGUAUGGAACACCAAAAGCGAAGGCAGUCAGCUGGGACGGUCCUGACACUGAGGGACGAAAGCGUGGGUAGCGACAAGGAUUAGAUACCCUUUUAGUCCACGCUGUAAACUAUGGACACUGGCUAUUUGAAGUGUCGACCCUUCAAGUGGCGAAGCUAACGCGUUAAGUGUCCCGCCUGGGAAGUACGGUCGCAAGACUAAAACUCAAAGGAAUAGACGGGGAUUCACACAAGCGGUGGAUCAUGUGGCUUAAUUCGACAACAAACGAGGAACCUUACCAGGGUUAGACACUCCGAUGAAAGUCCCGAGAAAUCGGGAUUCUCUCACAAGGACAUCGGGGCAGGUGCUGCACGGUCGUCGUCAGCAUGUAUCUUGAGACGCACCCUUAAAUGGGGUAACAUGCGCAACCCCUAUUCUGUGUUUUAUUUGUCACAGGAGACUGCCUAGGAUGACUAGGAGGAAGGUGGGGAUAACGCCAGAUCAGCGUGGCCCUUUGACACCCUGGGCCGCACACAUGAUACAAUGGGGCCGACAAUGCGUUGCGAAGGCGCAAGCCGGAGCUAACCGCAUCAAACGGUCCCCCAGUUCGGAUUGAGGUCUGCAACUCGACCUCAUGAAGCCGGAAUCGCUAGUAAUCGCCAAUCAGCUAUGUGGCGAUGAAUACGUUCCUGAAUCUUGUACUCACCGCCAAAUAAACGUGCCCGGCGGUUUAUUCUACUAACAGGUUAAAAUCCUGU
rnacentral:rRNA from 1 species